AGCAUGCCUUCACUUACCCCUGCCCCAAAACUCCUAGACUACAAGAACUAAUCAAUGUCUGUGUCCACCUGGAAACAUCCAGCGAGCAAGGACUGUGGAAGCAACUGCCCUGAAAUGACCCUUCAAUCUGCAGUGAGGUUACCACAGAACUUUAGAGGUGGAAAUACUUGA
rnacentral:lncRNA from 1 species